AUGAACGCUAGCUACAGGCUUAACACAUGCAAGUCGAGGGGCAGCAUUUUAGUUUGCUUGCAAACUGAAGAUGGCGACCGGCGCACGGGUGAGUAACACGUAUCCAACCUGCCGAUAACUCCGGAAUAGCCUUUCGAAAGAAAGAUUAAUACCGGAUAGCAUACGAAUAUCGCAUGAUAUUUUUAUUAAAGAAUUUCGGUUAUCGAUGGGGAUGCGUUCCAUUAGUUUGUUGGCGGGGUAACGGCCCACCAAGACUACGAUGGAUAGGGGUUCUGAGAGGAAGGUCCCCCACAUUGGAACUGAGACACGGUCCAAACUCCUACGGGAGGCAGCAGUGAGGAAUAUUGGUCAAUGGGCGAGAGCCUGAACCAGCCAAGUAGCGUGAAGGAUGAAGGCUCUAUGGGUCGUAAACUUCUUUUAUAUGGGAAUAAAGUUUUCCACGUGUGGAAUUUUGUAUGUACCAUAUGAAUAAGGAUCGGCUAACUCCGUGCCAGCAGCCGCGGUAAUACGGAGGAUCCGAGCGUUAUCCGGAUUUAUUGGGUUUAAAGGGAGCGUAGGUGGAUUGUUAAGUCAGUUGUGAAAGUUUGCGGCUCAACCGUAAAAUUGCAGUUGAAACUGGCAGUCUUGAGUACAGUAGAGGUGGGCGGAAUUCGUGGUGUAGCGGUGAAAUGCUUAGAUAUCACGAAGAACUCCGAUUGCGAAGGCAGCUCACUAGACUGUUACUGACACUGAUGCUCGAAAGUGUGGGUAUCAAACAGGAUUAGAUACCCUGGUAGUCCACACAGUAAACGAUGAAUACUCGCUGUUUGCGAUAUACAGUAAGCGGCCAAGCGAAAGCAUUAAGUAUUCCACCUGGGGAGUACGCCGGCAACGGUGAAACUCAAAGGAAUUGACGGGGGCCCGCACAAGCGGAGGAACAUGUGGUUUAAUUCGAUGAUACGCGAGGAACCUUACCCGGGCUUAAAUUGCAACAGAAUAUAUUGGAAUUGGAAGUUCUCCUUCGGGAGACGAGAAAACAGGUGGUGCACGGCUGUCGUCAGCUCGUGUCGUGAGAUGUUGGGUUAAGUCCCGCAACGAGCGCAACCCUUGUGAUAUGUUACUAACAUUGAGUUGAGGACUCAUAUCAGACUGCCGGUGAUAAACCGGAGGAAGGUGGGGAUGACGUCAAAUCAGCACGGCCCUUACGUCCGGGGCUACACACGUGUUACAAUGGGGGGUACAGAAGGCAGCUACACGGCGACGUGAUGCUAAUCCCAAAAACCUCUCUCAGUUCGGAUCGAAGUCUGCAACCCGACUUCGUGAAGCUGGAUUCGCUAGUAAUCGCGCAUCAGCCAUGGCGCGGUGAAUACGUUCCCGGGCCUUGUACACACCGCCCGUCAAGCCAUGAAAGCCGGGGGUACCUGAAGUACGUAACCGCAAGGAGCGUCCUAGGGUAAAACUGGUAAUUGGGGCU
rnacentral:rRNA from 1 species